GGAAAAUGUGAUUGGCUCUUUGUCUUUGGACUGACGUCACUGGUGGAUACAGCUUGAGCGCGCAUUUUCGAAUGGCUGCUGAUCACUAUUCCAGAAAGAUCAAAGCAAGGCCAACCAGGAUUAGAUGAAAAUGUGUAUCAAGAAUUCAACCAGAUAGUUAGGAAGAAUCUUAAGCAAGAAUUCUAUGGGUCUCUUGAUCAUCACUGUCCACAGCUGAUCCAGAUCUUCAGGUCAAAGAGAGGUCUUACUGUGUUGCCAUUGAGUGCUUCCAGUACUUCUUGGUGAUGACCCAACUGAGUUCUUCAAAGCAUCUUCAGAUUAUGGAGACUCAUGCCAACAUGUGCCCACUGGAUUCCUUAACCGAGAAAAUGAAGAUGUGGCUCUGCAACCCCUGUCCUUCCGCCUCCACCCAUCCUCAGUGGGAAUCAUCUAGGAGGGGAAU